rnacentral:rRNA from 1 species
ACGAACGCUGGCGGCACGCUUAACACAUGCAAGUCGAACGAGAGAAGAGAAGCUUGCUUUUCUGAUCUAGUGGCGGACGGGUGAGUAACACGUGAGCAAUCUGCCUUUCAGAGGGGGAUACCGAUUGGAAACGAUCGUUAAUACCGCAUAACAUAAUUGAACCGCAUGAUUUGAUUAUCAAAGAUUUAUCGCUGAAAGAUGAGCUCGCGUCUGAUUAGCUAGUUGGUAAGGUAACGGCUUACCAAGGCGACGAUCAGUAGCCGGACUGAGAGGUUGAUCGGCCACAUUGGGACUGAGACACGGCCCAGACUCCUACGGGAGGCAGCAGUGGGGAAUAUUGCACAAUGGAGGAAACUCUGAUGCAGCGAUGCCGCGUGAGGGAAGAAGGUUUUAGGAUUGUAAACCUCUGUCUUCAGGGACGAAAAAAGACGGUACCUGAGGAGGAAGCUCCGGCUAACUACGUGCCAGCAGCCGCGGUAAUACGUAGGGAGCGAGCGUUGUCCGGAAUUACUGGGUGUAAAGGGAGCGUAGGCGGGAUCGCAAGUCAGAUGUGAAAACUAUGGGCUUAACCCAUAAACUGCAUUUGAAACUGUGGUUCUUGAGUGAAGUAGAGGUAAGCGGAAUUCCUAGUGUAGCGGUGAAAUGCGUAGAUAUUAGGAGGAACAUCAGUGGCGAAGGCGGCUUACUGGGCUUUAACUGACGCUGAGGCUCGAAAGCGUGGGGAGCAAACAGGAUUAGAUACCCUGGUAGUCCACGCCGUAAACGAUGAUUACUAGGUGUGGGGGGACUGACCCCUUCCGUGCCGCAGCAAACGCAAUAAGUAAUCCACCUGGGGAGUACGACCGCAAGGUUGAAACUCAAAGGAAUUGACGGGGGCCCGCACAAGCAGUGGAGUAUGUGGAUUAAUUCGAAGCAACGCGAAGGACCUUACCAGGUCUUGACAUCGUAUGCAUAGCUCAGAGAUGAGUGAAAUCUCUUCGGAGACAUAUAGACAGGUGGUGCAUGGUUGUCGUCAGCUCGUGUCGUGAGAUGUUGGGUUAAGUCCCGCAACGAGCGCAACCCUUACUGUUAGUUGCUACGCAAGAGCACUCUAGCAGGACUGCCGUUGACAAAACGGAGGAAGGUGGGGAUGACGUCAAAUCAUCAUGCCCCUUAUGACCUGGGCCUCACACGUACUACAAUGGCUGUCAACAGAGGGAUGCAAAGCCGCGAGGUGGAGCGAACCCCUAAAAGCAGUCUUAGUUCGGAUUGUAGGCUGCAACCCGCCUACAUGAAGUCGGAAUUGCUAGUAAUCGCAGAUCAGCAUGCUGCGGUGAAUACGUUCCCGGGCCUUGUACACACCGCCCGUCACGCCAUGGGAGUCGGUAACACCCGAAGCCUGUAGUCUAACCGCAAGGAGGACGCAGUCGAAGGUGGGAUUGAUGACUGGGGUG